rnacentral:rRNA from 1 species
CGUUUGGAAUUGCGCAUGGGCGAAGCCUGCGCAGCGCGCGUGUGGGGGACGAAGGCCCUCGGGCUGUAAACCCCUGUCGGGUGGGACGACCCCCCGGGACGAAUACUCAUCGGGGUUGACGGUACCGCCGGAGGAAGCCCCCGGCUAACUACGUGCCAGCAGCCGCGGUAAUACGUAGGGGGCGAGCGUUUGCUUCGGAUUUUCCUGGGCGUAAAGAGCGCGUAGGCGGCCAGGGAAGUCUGGUGUGAAAUCCCUUCGGCUUCAACCGAGGACCCCGCAUUGGAGAUUCCCUGGCUUUGAGUCCAGGAGGGGAGGGUGGAAUUCCCGGUGUAGCGGUGAAAUUGCGUAAAGAUCGGGAGGAACACCGGUGGCGAAGGCGGCCCUCUGGAAUGGCACUGACGCUGAGGCGCGAAAGCUGGGGGGAGCAAACGGGACUAGAUACCCCGGUAGUCCCAGCCGUAACGAUGGGCGCUAGGUGUGGGAGGUACUGAUCCUCUCGUGCGCAGCUAACGCACUAAGC